CCUACGGGUGGCAGCAGUGAGGAAUAUUGGUCACUGGGCGCGAGCCUGAACCAGCCAAGUAGCGUGAAGGCUGACUGCCCUACGGGUUGUACACUUCUUUUAUCAAGGAAUAAAGUGAGGCACUUUUGCCUUUUUGUAUGUCCUUUAUGAAUAAGGAUCGGCUAACUCCGUUCCAGCAGCCGCGGUAAUACGGAGGAUCCGAGCGUUAUCCGGAUUUAUUGGGUUUAAAGGGAGCGUCGAUGGGUUGUUAAGUCAGUUGUGAAAGUUUGCGGAUCAACCGUAAAAUUGCAAUUGAUACUGGCAGUCUUGAGUACAGUUGAGGUAGGCGGAAUUCGGGGUGUAGCGGUGAAAUGCUUAGAUAUCACGAAGAACUCCGAUUGCGAAGGCAGCUUACUAAACUGCCACUGACAUUGAUGCUCGAAAGUGUGGGUAUCAAACAGGAUUAGAUACCCUGGUAGUC
rnacentral:rRNA from 1 species